GAUGAACGCUGGCGGCGUGCCUAACACAUGCAAGUCGAGCGAUUUACUUCGGUAAAGAGCGGCGGACGGGUGAGUAACGCGUGGGUAACCUGCCCUGUACACACGGAUAACAUACCGAAAGGUAUGCUAAUACGAGAUAAUAUGCUUUUAUCGCAUGGUAGAAGUAUCAAAGCUUUUGCGGUACAGGAUGGACCCGCGUCUGAUUAGCUAGUUGGUAAGGUAACGGCUUACCAAGGCAACGAUCAGUAGCCGACCUGAGAGGGUGAUCGGCCACAUUGGAACUGAGACACGGUCCAAACUCCUACGGGAGGCAGCAGUGGGGAAUAUUGCACAAUGGGCGAAAGCCUGAUGCAGCAACGCCGCGUGAGCGAUGAAGGCCUUCGGGUCGUAAAGCUCUGUCCUCAAGGAAGAUAAUGACGGUACUUGAGGAGGAAGCCCCGGCUAACUACGUGCCAGCAGCCGCGGUAAUACGUAGGUGGCGAGCGUUAUCCGGAAUUAUUGGGCGUAAAGAGCGCGCAGGUGGUUGAUUAAGUCUGAUGUGAAAGCCCACGGCUUAACCGUGGAGGGUCAUUGGAAACUGGUCAACUUGAGUGCAGAAGAGGGAAGUGGAAUUCCAUGUGUAGCGGUGAAAUGCGUAGAGAUAUGGAGGAACACCAGUGGCGAAGGCGGCUUCCUGGUCUGUAACUGACACUGAGGCGCGAAAGCGUGGGGAGCAAACAGGAUUAGAUACCCUGGUAGUCCACGCCGUAAACGAUGAGUGCUAAGUGUUGGGGGUCGAACCUCAGUGCUGAAGUUAACGCAUUAAGCACUCCGCCUGGGGAGUACGGUCGCAAGACUG
rnacentral:rRNA from 1 species